rnacentral:rRNA from 1 species
GUUUGAUCCUGGCUCAGAGCGAACGUUUGCGGCGGGCUUAACACAUGCAAGUCGAACGAGAAUCCCUUCGGGGAGGAAAGUGGCGCACGGGUGCGUAACACGUGGAUGACCUACCCCUUGGUUCGGGACAACAGCGGGAAACUGCUGCUAAUACCGGAUGUGUCGUAGCAAUACGAGAAAGGCCCGCAAGGGUCGCCAGAGGACGGGUCCGCGUCCCAUCAGCUAGUUGGUGAGGUAAUGGCUCACCAAGGCGAAGACGGGUAGCUGGUCUGAGAGGAUGAUCAGCCACACUGGAACUGAGACACGGUCCAGACUCCUACGGGAGGCAGCAGUGGGGAAUAUUGCGCAAUGGGCGAAAGCCUGACGCAGCCACGCCGCGUGAGCGAUGAAGGUCUUCGGAUCGUAAAGCUCUGUGGGGGGAGAAGAAGAAAGUCGGUGAAGAGCCGACCCUGACGGUAUCCCCUUAGCAAGCACCGGCUAACUCCGUGCCAGCAGCCGCGGUAAUACGGAGGUGCAAACGUUG